rnacentral:tRNA from 1 species
GGGGCUAUAGCACAGUGGUAGAGCACAUGCUUAGCAUGCAGGAGGGCCCGGGCUCAAUCCCCAGUACUGCCA